ACGGGUGCGUAACGCGUGGGAAUCUGCCCUUGGGUUCGGAAUAACAGUUAGAAAUGACUGCUAAUACCGGAUGAUGUCUUCGGACCAAAGAUUUAUCGCCCAAGGAUGAGCCCGCGUAAGAUUAGCUAGUUGGUGGGGUAAUGGCCCACCAAGGCGACGAUCUUUAGCUGGUCUGAGAGGAUGAUCAGCCACACUGGGACUGAGACACGGCCCAGACUCCUACGGGAGGCAGCAGUGGGGAAUAUUGGACAAUGGGCGAAAGCCUGAUCCAGCAAUGCCGCGUGAGUGAUGAAGGCCUUAGGGUUGUAAAGCUCUUUUACCAGGGAUGAUAAUGACAGUACCUGGAGAAUAAGCUCCGGCUAACUCCGUGCCAGCAGCCGCGGUAAUACGGAGGGAGCUAGCGUUGUUCGGAAUUACUGGGCGUAAAGCGUACGUAGGCGGUUACUCAAGUCAGAGGUGAAAGCCCGGGGCUCAACCCCGGAACUGCCUUUGAAACUAGGUAGCUAGAGUCUUGGAGAGGUUAGUGGAAUUCCGAGUGUAGAGGUGAAAUUCGUAGA
rnacentral:rRNA from 2 species